GUAGUUAAGAUCAAAGGAGUUGAUCUCGUAGUUAAGAUCAAAAGAGUUGAUUAAAAUCUUCAAGGUCAAGAUUCUUAUUGAAAAGAAGAAUCUCAUACGAGAAGAAAAAGUUCAAGAUCGAUCCCAAUGGAUAUCCGUAGAGGUCGGACAUAUGUGCGGCUCAACCUUCUACGAAUCUGUGAUCAUCAAUAGUGGUGAAUUUCUACCUAUGCAAAGGUAAUAAGAUCUGAUCUCAUAAUUUUUUUUAAAUUUUAGAUUGAUGAUAUAUACUUUCUCCUA
rnacentral:lncRNA from 1 species